CGCGCAGGCGGUUCCUUAAGUCAGGCGUGAAAGCCCGGGGCUAAACUCCGGAAGGGCGUCUGAAACUAAGGGACUCGAGUACGGGAGAGGGAAGUGGAAUUCCUGGUGUAGAGGUGAAAUUCGUAGAUAUCAGGAGGAACACCGGUGGCGAAGGCGACUUCCUGGACCGAUACUGACGCUGAAGCGCGAAAGCGUGGGGAGCGAACA
rnacentral:rRNA from 1 species